AUACGGAGGAUGCAAGCGUUAUCCGGAUUUAUUGGGUUUAAAGGGUGCGUAGGCGGGACUGUAAGUCAGGGGUGAAAUACUGCAGCUUAACUGUAGCAUUGCCUUUGAAACUGCCGUUCUUGAGUACAGUUGAGGUAGGCGGAAUGUGGUGUGUAGCGGUGAAAUGCAUAGAUAUACCACAGAACGCCGAUUGCGAAGGCAGCGUACUAAGCUGUUACUGACGCUGAGGCACGAAAGCGUGGGGAUCAAACAGGAUUAGAUACCCUGGUAGUCCACGCUGUAAACGAUGAUUACUGGUUGUUAGCGAUAUAUAGCUAGUGACUGAGCGAAAGCAUUAAGUAAUCCACCUGGGGAGUACGUCGGCAACGAUGAAACUCAAAGGAAUUGACGGGG
rnacentral:rRNA from 1 species